GAGUUGGCUGGUGAAUCAAGUCUUUUGGAGAAAGCCCGCGGAAAGAUGUGGGCAGUCCCUCGUGCAGCCUUUAUCUAUCAGCUUUAGACGGUAGUGUAGAGGACUACGGUGGCGGUAACGGAUACGGAGAAUUAGGGUUCGAUUCCGGAGAGUGAGCCUGAGAAACGG
rnacentral:rRNA from 1 species